rnacentral:lncRNA from 1 species
AUUUUGUUAUGUGCUUUUACACAAAAUUUAUAAAACUCAUCACUUUAACUAUAAUAUAAUUUUUAUUUUUCUAUAUCAAAAAUAAGAAGAAGAAAAAUUUUUGGUCCAAAAAUGUAAAGUUAUAAUUGAGUGUUUUGUUACUAAAAAUGAUGUCAUUUCCACUCUGUAGAAUACUAAAUGGUUUAGGAAAAUAGAUUCUGCCACAGGCUGACUAUCUCUGCAGAAAGGUUUUCCAUGUUUUAUGCCACUUUCUGCUUGGUGAGUAAGCAGUGGGGCAUUUCUAUGCACAUUACAUGCCUCCCUCACUCUCUGGGUCAACCACCAGGCAGAAGAUGGGGUUCAACAAGCCAAACUCAAAUCCCUCCUGAAAAAACAAAGUAUGGGAUCUGGGAACUGAACCAAGAUCCUCCAGGAUGGAAGCAUAGCAUAUUUCCACUACAACCAUCUGGCUGACAUCUGCAGAGAGGUCAGCUGAAUUAUGAAAAAUGAUAUUGAUGAGCCAAGUCUGGAUUUCAUUGCCUAGCCCAUUGUGAGAUUUAGAAUUGAAUCCAAAGGUGAGAUCAAGAUUCAAUUCUCAGAUUCCAUUCUUUGGAAAAUUUAUUCAUGAGGUCCAGGACCAACUCAUUGAUCCCCAUCCUCCAUAAUCCAUUUUAUCUCUUCAUAAGGGUGCCCACCACUUAAUAUUCUAUUUGAGUGGAAAAUAAUGACAUAUGUUGAUCAAAAUAAUUUGACCAAUAUUGCAAUUAGAUUAGGUUUUAGUUAAGCACACAAAUUGUAAAUGGAAUAUGUUUGGUGGCAGCUGUUUUUAGAGCCCAUCACAAGCUAGCCAUCAUCCAUAAUAAGAAAUAUUAAUACACAAGCAUUAAGAUGUAGAACUUCUUUACACUGCUCCAUUUUUAAUCAACCAAUAAUAUUUUCAGCACUUUAGGCAGGAAAUAAAAAAUUC